rnacentral:rRNA from 1 species
GAUGAACGCUGGCGGCGUGCCUAAUACAUGCAAGUCGAGCGAACAGACGAGGAGCUUGCUCCUCUGACGUUAGCGGCGGACGGGUGAGUAACACGUGGAUAACCUACCUAUAAGACUGGGAUAACUUCGGGAAACCGGAGCUAAUACCGGAUAAUAUAUUGAACCGCAUGGUUCAAUAGUGAAAGACGGUUUUGCUGUCACUUAUAGAUGGAUCCGCGCCGCAUUAGCUAGUUGGUAAGGUAACGGCUUACCAAGGCAACGAUGCGUAGCCGACCGAAUAGGGGGGAGCGCCCAAUGGGACCUCGGAACGGUGCCAAGUCACAAGGGAGGCAGCAAGUGGGCAACUUUGCGCAUGGGGGGAAGCAUGAAAGGGCCAACGGCAGGGGGAGAAGAAGGGUUUAGGGUUGGAAAAACUUUUUUAAAGGGGAGAAAGAAAAGGGUAGGAACUAUUACAGGUUUGGGGGAUACCCAUUAAGAAGGCCACCCUCAAAAACGU